AUCACUCUUACCUAUUUUCACCCAACAUUACGUAGCGAAAUUUAAUAAAAGUGUUCAAAUUAGACGGUAAAGUGAUUCAUGUCCUACAAUGAUCGAUUGAUUAGUGUAUAAUAUGCUAAUCUAAAAUAUGAUCUUGAAAAACAUUUUGCAACUGUACAUGUUGUGAUGUGACCCAUUAUCCCAAAACAGGUCUCAAAUGGAAUUGAUCAGCCUAAUGGUUCCACAAAAUGGGAAUGUCACCAAGCUCACUUAACUAGCUGCAGUGCAGGGAAGGACUCGGCCAAUAAUCCGUGAACUCUUGUUGUUCUGUGUCUCUCCACGAUCCUACAAAACAUCCAUCACCACAAAUAAGAAAUACCAAAGGUUCACACAAAGAUAUUCAAAACCCCAAGCCCUCAUGAAACUUAAGAGGCAAGUACAAGCUAAGCCAAACCAAAACUCUUUAAACCGAAACCGAACGGUAACCGAACCAAAUUCUGAGGCCUAGUAGAAAUGUUUACCUUGCCUAGGGGAGUCCUCCUCCAACACAACACAUCGGCGUCAUCUUCUGGCCUGCACAAAGUCAAAAGCAGAGCAUACAUACUUCAGUGGCUAUCCAAAGCACAAAACAGCUUUAACAUUGUAAUAAUCUUUUACCCUUUGUCACCAGGAGGCAUGUGUGGAGUACACAUAACAGAGUUCGCAUCUCCUUCAUCACUCGCACUGCUCAUUCGCGACGAGGCAUUGGCUGAAGAACGUACACUUCGAGCCCUCAAGACAUUUCCUUGGCAACUUCUCAGAGAGUUUGUAACUGCUUGCUUUUCAUACGCGCAUUCAGAGCCGGUUCUUGUAGUCAGAUAAGACGACUUGUGUAGCAUUCUACGAGAACAGCUGAAUAUUCCAAAGAAAAGACUUGCUGCUGCUUUAGCACUCUUUGGUGGAGAACAAGCUGAGAUAACAAGAUUCAUUCGGAUCUCAACAUUGCAUCCUAACACUGAUUGGAACGAGUCUGCAAUCAAUUUCCAUGAUUUCUCGGCUCUUGUUACAUGUUGAGGUGUGUAGAAUUCCAAUUCAGCUAUUGCCACACCUGAAACAGACAUAUAUAAGAGGUUUUACUUAUCAGAAACUACUUUUCAUGAUACAAACCAAACUUAAACCUCAGGGUCAUUUUGGAAAAGGUAAGUUACCUUUGUCAACAGUAAGUGAAACCAACCUCCCUCUUUUCCACAAAAAGCUCUUCAGUGAAUCAGAACAACACAAAUCUGUAACUGUUUUCCACACAGUUUCAACUGUUUCUUUACAGUUUUUCUCUAAAUACUCCUCGGUUUUUGAUUUAACGACAUCACCUGGACAAUCCGAUGAUGUGCUGGAGAGGUCAACAUCUACAUAUAGGACCACGGUCAGUUAUAUAGCUAGCAACCAGGAAAACAAGAAAAGAAACAUGAAUAACGAAAAAGCACUAUAUCCAAACUAAUGACCUUUGCUUCUUUGACUUUUUAAACUCAUUUCAUUUUCAUUAGUUGCAAGAGAAGAUGACUCGGAGUUGCUAAGUUGCAAAAGUGCCACAGUGAGCCAGGUUGUCUGGUUUUUAGAUGCUCUCAAGUGUUUCUCAGCAUCAGAUAGUAUCUUCAAUGCAUUACUCAAUUUGUUCAAUUCUUCUUCAGCUGUAUAAUAUAACAACAGAUGAAAAGCGUUAGGCCAAGUACAACUUGAAGCUGAUAUUGAAAGUGAUCAUUGGUUUGCUUACAGGUAUGCCUUGUAAGAAACCGAAGUCUGGUUGCUGAACUACUUUCUUGAGAUUUUCCAGCAAUGAUGUCCAUAAUGACAUUAGCUAGCUGGGAAAUCAGCUGCAUUGGGUCUAUUUUGGAUUUCAUAAGCUCCCUCGCUCUUAUAACCGUGUUUGAAGUAUCAGAAGACAGUGCAAGAUCAAGCAGAUCAAGCAAUUCAUCAUCAGAAACAACCCCAAUCUGUAGAAUGAAAAAGAGUUUGGUUUUUAUUCUCAGCUAUAACAUAUUCCCAAGACAGAAAAAUUAAUGAAGAAAGAUGUAUUAACUCACAAGCUUGUAGGCCAAAGAUGUCGUUACUCUUUUGCCGAGCAAACUUAACUGGUCAAGCAUUAUCUCAGCAUCCCGAAGCGAACCAUCAGAUUUAGAAGCAAUGAAAUCAACUGCACCUUGAUCAAAAUCAAUACCUUCUUCCAUACAAAUCUUUGCCAGCUUAUUUGAUAUUUCCGCAUCGCAGACUUUAGAGAAAUGAUAUUUCUGGGACCGUGAGAGCACGUUACGUGGCAGCUUCUCUAGCUCUGAUGUGACCAGUAUAAAAACUGAAUGCUGAGAGAAACUGUCCAAACUGUUCAAGAGAGUACCCCAAGUUUCUUGACUUAACAACUGACACUCAUCAAUGAUGAAAACCUUGAACCUAGAUGAAACCGGACGAAGAGAUGCGCUUUUGAUGAGAGAUCUGAGGUAGCUAGGCCGGUUUAGUUUAACCGAAUCCAUUUCCUUCACGUCCCUGAUGCUUCCCGAGAAGUAUGACUUGCAUUCACUACACAAGCCACAUGGUCUACUAUGUGCAGCCUGUGAAAGGCAGUUUAAAGCAGCAGCAAAUAUCUUAGACGUUGAAGUUUUACCAGUCCCACGAGGACCGUUAAAAAGGUAAACAGAAGUAAUCCUUCCUCUCAAAAUGGUGCUCAAGAGACAUUUCACUACCACUUCUUGCCCAACUAACUCAUCGAAAGAUCUCGGCCUGUACUUCUGACUCAGACUCCUCGACAUAGUUUCGUGACUCGGUGUCACCACAUUACUCUCACCAUUGCCAGAUAGUAAAGGAUACUCUUCUACAUCUGAGGAAUGGUUUGAUCCUCUGUACCUUGGCGUUCUUGACCAGCAAUACGUUAUUCCACAACCACGGUUACAUUCAUUCACAAAAUCAACAUCUUCAUCCCCAUAACUAAGAUUUGUUGAGGUCAUUGGACUACCUACAUGGCUGCCAUAUUCACCAACCAAGCUAGCUAAGUUGGUGGAAUAAUGAGUUCUAUAUCCUCCCCUUGAAGCGCCAUUCUCAGCAUGAGUAAUUGAAGGCACAUUACAUGCCAAAUCCCUACCUUUAACCGAUAAAUCACCACACGAUCUUUCACUUGACGGCGAUUUACUCCUAGAGCACGCGUCUCCUUCAACAUUUAGCACCCUGUUGCUCAACUUGUGAAGGUCACAACCAUUCUCUAGCUCCUCCAUUAUCGAGUAUGAUCCAAAAGGAACCAAUCCCACACGAGCAUCAUCAGCCUUACAAUCACCAUCAUCAGCCUUACAAGGAUGAUCAUCAUGUUCAGCAUGAUUCACAAACUGCAGUGAGAUCCCAUUGUUGGAACCAGUUUCCCAUUUGACAUUUUCAAGCAAAGAAGCAAACUUGCUCAUUGAAUUAGUACAAGGAUCUCUCAGUGACCGAACCCUUCUAAGAGCCACAAGUGUUCUUGUGAUGGGUACAUCUACAGAAUGCCUCCUAAACUCCCCCAUUUUCUAUGAAUUGAUCAAACAACGUAGAACGCAGACCCAGGCUCUCUCUCUCUCUUUCUCCUGAAACUUCAAGAUUCGACAUCCAUCAUCUCUUUCCUGAUAAAGAUAGUAAUAUUAGUGAUAGUUUUGCAACAUUUAAGCUUCUUAUCAUCGGUGAAGAAGCCAAAGUAUAAAGCAAAACCAAAUCCAGCACCAAAGAGCAUAAAUCAAACUCAAACAGCCAUUUUAGUAAGUAAAAAUCAACAAGAAGCUAGCUAAACGAUGAGAAUGUGGUAACACGAGAACAGAUGUGGAAAAAAAUACUACUCGUAUUAACAAACACUCACAGAGCUCAAAAACACACAUAAAACAGAGAACCAGAUAAGCUAUGAAAACAAAAACAAAAACAAAAACUUGGGAACGAUUAAAAAAUGGCAUUUAAAUAAGGAAAAGACAAACCGAAAACCCCAAACGUCAAGAUUGGGGAAUACCAAGGUGUAUUGAACGGAGUGGCGUACAAUGCGGAGAAUCCAAAACCCUAAAAACCUCUAAGAGAAGAAGAAGAAGAAGUAAGUAAGUGGUGGCAAAGUGGUGAAUAAGAGUGAUGGUGAGAGGUAAUAAUAAUGGUAAUAGCAAAGGGGUCGUUGUUGUUUGUGUGGAGAGAGAGAAAGAGAAGGGAGACAUAUGUUAGGGUAGGAGGCAGAGAUUUUUGCAGUGAAAGGUGGUGUGUCUUGGGACAGAGAGCCAACCAGUAAGAAGGAGAGAGAAAGCAAGAAAGAAAAGAAAGAGUCUUUAAAUAAUUUGAUUAUUUGGAGUUCGCUUCAUUUAAGAUUCGUUCGGCGGUUUCAGUUAUGUCUCUUUGGCUUUCGUGGCAAAACCAACAAGAAAAAAACAGUCUCUACUCUCUACUCUAACUUCGUGUGGUCCGCUCCUCUGCCACGUUUUUGCCUCUACUCACGUGUUCCUUCUUCCCAUUCAAUUCAGAAGAUUUCAAUCAUUUAUUUUAUUAUUUGGAAUUCAAAAUAGUAAGUUUCAUCAUAUUGACGAGACAAUCUAAUUUAUGUUUAUUUUAUUUGACCAGACACACAAGUUUAUGAUCCUCUUCAAAAACGAGAUCAAACAUGAAUUUCAUCUGGUAUCCAGCAGUUACAACGGUGAUAAAAGAAAUAUGAUGCAUUGUUCGUAAACGUUUUGAAAACAAAAACUAAACACCAUAUAAUUGGGGGUUUAGUCUAUUGAUCAAUCCUAGUUAAAAAACUGUGGUUUAUUUUACAAAUGCGGUAUAUAUCAAGAACUAGUUUUGGGUAUUAUGAGAGUUUAAUAGACCAAAGAUCUUAAUUUUUCACGAAUUAUCAACAACGACAAUAUGAAUGUAUUCACGUAUACACCUUGUUAGACUCACAGAUAACUGUCGGUUUAACUUGAAAGUAAACUAGUUAUAAACCUUCUGUAUAAAAGAAUGUCUUGUUUAUGAAUAACAAAACAACUUUCCCCUCUUCUUCUUUGUUUGUUUAGCUCAACUAACAAAUUUUAUAAAUCCCUACGGAUUAAACGACAACAACUAAUCUCAGUUUUUUUUCUUAACGCUCUUGCAUAAUACUUGUUGUACUAAUGAUUUCAGUGUUGGAAUGCCUUUAUGACAGAUGCUCCGGCAAACUUUUUUUUUUGUCAAAGGCUCCGGCAAACUUUAUGGUCACGUUUCCGGCCAAUUUGAGAUUCAGAACACAGUGCAAAACUGCAAAUAUCACACUAGUGGAUGUUUACUCUGGAAAAUUCCUUCUUAACUCUCUUGUUUGGUAUCAACUUAUUACUAAUAAUUUCGUCUAUACAAUUUACUUUUUAACUAUCAGUUUGUCCAGUUGUAGUUAAUUAUAGCGUUUCUACACUCAGAUUGAUGAUGAAGAUGCCGUACCAAAACAAGUAAGAACAAUAAGCGUUGAGUUUCUUACAUGUGGGGGCGUGCUACAGUGUUUUUAGACUUACCUCUGAAACAGAGAGGUCAAGGAGAGCCCAAAGGACGGUGAAGAGUCAGAGCAUGGUAAAAAGAUGAGUCCAUGUCUGGCUCUUGCUAAUAGAGACUAAAGUGAGUGAGCCGUAAAUAUAUAUAAAGUGGAAAAAAACAUUUUCUUAAAAAAAAAACUCUAUUUUACAAUCUCAAAACAAAAAAAAAUUAACAAACUUUCUGCAUGUACCAAAAGAUUUCCUAAACGAAACUUUUAUGGAUUAAUUCGGUUUAGCCUACAAGGUGAGGUAUAAUUUUAGUUUUGUUACCAGAUUGCGAGUCUAUCAAUCAGUUUGCCCAGAUGGAAGACGAGACCAAUACGUUGACCGAUUGUUUCCCGAAACUAGCUCUUGGGCCUUUAGAGCAUGUUCAACCCUCAACCUCUUAAUGAGGUUCUUUUCCAUUUUUUAUUAAUAUUGUUUUUUAAGUUGAGAAGUUAAGAACUUCUCCAUUUUUUAUGCUUCCAACACUGAAUUUGUAAUGGGGUUUUAUUACUUUCACAAAGUCCACCACUAGCUCGAACUCUUCUCUUUAAUUUACAGACACAAACCAAUCAGCCACACGUCUAUAGUAAUAUUUGCUCACAAAUCUGACUUCCACCAAAGAUUAUAGGUAGAAAAUCAUAAUAAAUAAUAAUAAUAACAGAGUGAGUUGGUUUAUAGACGAAGAUCCAUCUCCUCGUCCUCCUAAAUGUACAGUUCUUUGGAAAGAGCUUUUGGGGUUGAAGAAACAGAGGAAUUAUUCGUCUUCUUCGUCGGUGAGGACCGUGUCAUCGCUCUCUCCAUCGUCUUCCACGUCCUCAUCAAACUCACUUGAAGAUGCAGCUGCGAAGAGAGAGGAAAGAGAGAAAGAAGGUCAGAAAGGUAAGAAAGUAUUAGAGAGGACGAGAUUGGCGAGAAAAAUUGGAAGAGACGAUGCAGAGAAAAAUUUGGUCGAAGUCUUCGUUGUGGUCGAGGAAAGAGAGACCAAAAGGUUUUCUCAAAAAAAAAAAAAUUUCCUUCCUCCAUUUAUACGAUCACACGUCACGCUAAAACUUCUCAAAAACGGGUUCAAAAAACUCUAAUAUAAGAACUGGUUUAAGAAAAUUGUGGGACCUCUCUGAUUAAAUAAAAUCCAAAUAAUGCUUUGAACUCUGCGUAUGAACUCUAUAAACCCUGCGUUGGACGUGGUCUUAGAGCCGUAGCAAUUGACGUUAAUUGCUAGAAAAAAAAAUGACAUAUCUGUUUAGAAAAUUAAAUUUCUAUAUAUAUAGAUAGUUCCAUUCUUUUUUGGGACAAAAUAGAUAGUCCCAUUUGAAAUGACGAAAACAAACUACCUUCAACACCUUUUAAACCGAAACGUAAACAAUGUAUUUUCUACUUCUUUUUUUCCCUUCUCAAUAUACAGAGGAUGACAUUGGAAUCCUUUAAACUUCUACGUCAUAGAAACUUGGAUUCAAUCAAGAUUCCGUUGAAUACAAGUCAUUUGGGUCCACAACGAAAAAAAAAAGAAGAAGAGAGGAUAGCAUGAAUGUGCCACGUAUUAUGAUAUGAGUGGAUACCAUAAGAUUACUCAUGUUCAAAUUCUCGGCGAACUUUACGGCCAAAAAAAAAAAAAAAAAAAAGAAAGAGGAAACAAAAGAAAAGGAUAUGUCGCAUGUAAGAGUUGCCCACUUUGCCCCUUUGAAACAAUAAUAAGUUUUGGGAGGCAUGUGCUGUGAUUACUCAAAUCUUCAUUGUCGCUGUCAAUUUUAUCUCUCCGAACAAAUCUUGUUGAUGGAGGAGUGAAGAUGAAGAUUUGUUGAGCGGGCCUCUCUCCUUGAUUGAUUCCCACUAUUCCAUCAAAUAUUUUUAAUAAUGCACCUCAUCUUUUAUAUAAUUUGAUUUUAAGAGUGUAAGUAAAUAUUGAUUCGCAUGAUAAUAAUAAAUAUUGCAAAUAUUUUUUUUUUAACUAUGGCGUUACAACAACAGAGUACAUCAUGUGUGAUUUAGUUUUUUUUUUUUAAAGCACAUUCCACAUCAAUUAAUGGCGUUUAGGCAUUUACACAAAGAUUAAGUUAGAAGAUACGAGGGUUUUGUUUGCGUUCAUUGCUUUGGUGGGAUAGAUGAUCUAUAGGGUUUCCUAUGGAGUGUUGACUCGGGUACCGUAUUGCAAUAUAAUCUUUCUUUUUAACUUUUGUGUGAUUUUACAAAAUUUGGGUGGUUUGACCUCGCUAGUAUUCGUUUUUUUUUUUACUUCAUGAGCUUCUGCAUACCCAUGUGUAUCAGAUUCUUUUUUUGGUCUUGCUCUGAGCUUUUGUUUUCACUUCACUAUGAACUUGACCGGAACUUGUUGAACCCUCUCUGUUGAUAUGUCAAUAUCGACAAGGGACAAAAUGGUACUUUUAGAUCGGAAACUCGGUAUUUAUUAGAUUGAAUCGAGCAAAAUACAACUGAGUUCGGUUAUUCAGAUAAAUAAUAACGAACUAAGACUUAAGACGACUAAGAAGCUAGCGUGUUGAGUUCUCAGCCUUUAAGUCUUCUUGGGAAUAUCUUGUGUUCUCUGGUGUCGAUUCGUCACCCUUUAUAUAUAUCUCCUAAGUCGGUCCUCAAGCACGUCUUAGACGAUAUGGGACCGAGAGGAAUUUCCUUUUCUCUCGGUUUCUUUCCUUUUCUCUCCAAAGUUUCCUUUUUCCAUUAGGAAACUUUCCUGUUUCGACCGAGCUCAGGGAAACCCUCUAUUCCUUCGAGAGAUUUCUCACCGACCUUGGCCUAACGGGCUGUAUUCGGCCCACCUCCGCUCGGCCCAUCUUUUCUCGGUACGUCCCUUCGUAAACCGGGCUUAUGGUUUGCCGAUCUCGGUUUGUACCGGAGAAAACCGGGGUGCGGUUUUCACCUCCAACAGUUAGCCCCCCCUCAGCUCGGUGAAAGGAGGUGACUUUCAGUCGAACUUAUUUCUUCGGUUAUUGGAUCACAAACCGAGCUCGGUAACUGCUGUCGAUUCACAUUUCUGGACGUUUCGCGCCCGUCUUCAAUGAGGCGUGUGAAUUACGGAAUUUUCGCGAAAAUCGAGGAACCCACGAUUCCCACUGUUUAUAAGAGAAAAACCCUCCUCUCGCAUUCAUUAUUCUCACUCCAGCAUAUAUAAGGUACGCCGCUCUCCCUUCUCUCUAGAUUUUGUUUCUCUCUCUAGUUUUCUUUUUGUAGUUUUUCUCUCGUUUCUUCAACUCUCGCCGCCGCGAACCCUUGAUUUUUCCGAUCGAUCUUCAAACUUCCCGAUCAACCUUCAAUCUUUCCGGCUGAUCUUCAAGUUGUUCUUCAUUUCUCCCAAAUCUCCUUCGAAUCUACUUUUCCAAACUCAAAAAUGUCUUCUAGUUCUUCGAUUAAUUCUUCCUCUAACCAAAUUCUUCCGGAAGACCGCCGUGAAUCCUCGGAGCUGAGCUCCUCUUCUUCAAACCCUCAACAAUCGAGUCCGUCAUAGGAAGAGAGCAACCUUCCUCAAUUAGUUCGCAAAAAUUCUAAAUCAGUUGGUGCUAGCAGCAGCCGUUCUCGACCACGAGUUGAAGCGACCGAAAAUUUGGCGACAUCGCGAAACGGGGGCUCGGAUUGGCCCGAACGCUGACGACGUUGUCCACGAGAUCGAAGAAAUCGAAGAGCUCGAAGAAGAAAACCAGGAAGAGAGCGCUGCUAAGGCGGAAGUUGCCGAGGAUAACCUUGGUGCUGUGAUUCACGCUUCGCCGCCACUUCCGAGGCGCAAAGUUGUUCGCCCCAACGUGCCAUCUUCCUCUGUCUCUCCUGGUGCUGUUCGUGACGUGCUCGAAGAAAGUGGACUCGCGGAUCGAGUCAUCUUCUGUUUCCUAAGCAGAAGGCCGUAGGUUCGACCCCUACCUGGCGCGCCAAUUGUUGAUAUGUCAAUAUCGACAAGGGACAAAACGGUACUUUUAGAUCGGAAACUCGGUUUUUAUUAGAUUGAAUCGAGCAAAAUACAACUGGGUUCGGUUAUUCAGAUAAAUAAUAACGAACUAAGACUUAAGACGACUAAGAAGCUAGCGUGUUGAAUUCUCAGCCUUUAAGUCUUCUUGGGAAUAUCUUGUGUUCUCUGGUGUCGAUUCGUCUCCUUUUAUAUAUAUCUCCUAAGUCGGUCCUCAAGCACGCCUUAGACGAUAUGGGACCGAGAGGAAUUUCCUUUUCUCUCGGUUUCUUUCUUUUUCUCUCUAAAGUUUCCUUUUUCCAUUAGGAAACUUUCCUGUUUCGACCGAGCUCAGGGAAACCCUCUAUUCCUUCGAGAGAUUUCUCACCGACCUUGGCCUAACGGGCUGUAUUCGGCCCACCUCCGCUCGGCCCAUCUUUUUCGGUACGUCCCUUCGUAAACCGGGUUUAUGGUUUGCCGAUCUCGUUUUGUAUCGGAGAAAACCGGGGUGCGGUUUUCACCUCCAACACUCUCAAAUCGCAAAAGUGUUCUGAUUCUAUAAUAGACCAUGCCUUCGUGAUUUAUCCCCUCACGUAUAUUUAUCCAGUGAUAACUACUUUCAAGGACGGCUUGAAACCAUACCUUCAUCAGUUCAAAGCUGCACAAGUUUAGAAUCUUCUUAUUUUCCUCAAUUGUUUUUGUUAUGUGUAGUCUCUGAUCACAGAUGUACGUGAUUAUGUUGACAUAGGUAUGAAUGUGUUCUUCUAUAGACUAUACGUGGAAGAUAAGUCAGGGAUUAAUUAAGUGAUAUGGUACAUCUCCACGAUCUUCAUAUUUUAGGGGAGUUUCCUUCACCAGCAAAAUUGCGUAAUAAGAUAUUAAUAUCAAGAAGACCUAUAAGUAAAGGGUUGACGUAUGUAAUAAAGGGGAUGAGAUACCGUAGGAGUCGGGCAUAUAAGAAUUAUUAGACUCCACUUGCUUUCGAUCUAUGUUGUGAACCUUGGCAAUAAACAGAUUCAUCCAAAAUAGAUUCUUGCGGGCAAAUUAGACAAAGAAGAUUCACCCAAAAUGCAUCAGAUAAGGGAGGUUCAUUCAUCAGCACAAAAAAUAAUGUUUUUUUUUUUAUGUUAUCUGACCUUUUAUAUCUUAAAGUAUUGUAAAUAUUGUAGAAACGUGUGAAAAGAUUUAGGAUCCUUCGACUUAUUCUACACCGUAUAUUUUGAAAUUGAACUUUGUAUAUAGAAGGUAAGAUCUUUGAUUUGUAAACAUCCAACAAUAUUAAGUAUUUGAGUAGUUAAUAUAAGUUUCAAUUUCUCUCUGUCUCUUCGUUUUGUUUUCUUCUCCACAAGACCACAAGGAUCAAGUAUGUUUUGGAACGACACUGAUUUAACCACCACAAGAUAUAGAGAAAUGCUAAGGUAGCAUGACUUGUUCGGAAAAGAUAAGUCUAUGACAUUUCGUUAUUGUCAACAAAAUAACAUUUCUUUACUAGACUUCAAGUGUCAACAAAAUUAUUAUACUUUUAAUUCAUUUUUAGCACUCAUUUUAUUUUAAAAUCAACCGUAUCAUUUGAGUACGUUGCUCAACUGUCAAACAACCUAACUAUUGAAAGGAAUCCCGUAAAACCUGCAAAUCACGAGGCAUUACAUGUCCCACUUACACUUUUCUUUUACAACUCUCCAAUGCUAAUUUCCACAUUAACCUAUCAUUACCAACGCCUAUUAACUAAUGACUUUAACAGUGUAUUGAUUCGUAUCCAAGUCCCCCUGCCGUAAUUGGUGCAUUAAGAAGUGGAAAGGAAUAUGGUGGACAAAAGAAACAAACUGUUUGUCACGUCAUUUUUUUCACCACUGCCACCAAUCAGAACAUAGCUGAAAUUAAUUUCCUCAACAUUUUAAGAUAGAUACAAAAUUAGUCAAUAUUAAAAUAGGAGAAGGUUUCCCUAUCUGAGAGAAAUAAAAACCAGAUAUUCGAAAACAAUCAAGUAUAACUCUACAACUAGUAUAACUCUACAACUCUUAUAACUCACAUCCCUGGUGGAAUCAUUCGACUAGUUACAUGGUUAUUACUUCAUUUUCUAAUUUCUUUUUCAUUAUCUUAUUCUGCUUUUUUUCUUUCUUUCCCAUUUAUGUUUUUUUCGAUACUCGAUUACUUGACAAGUUUUUUUUUAAUGUUUUUUAAAUGAAAAGAUUACCAGACAUGUUCUGUCGGUUUAUCUUCGCUUUUCUUUGAUAUCUUACCUAACAUGUUGCUAUAGUAUAUGGUUGGAGAGUUAGUUCUCUGAAUAAUAAAGGCUUUGUUCAGGCAUAACGGUUCUGAUACGGACAAUAUCUAAUCAAUAUUUUUUUUUAAUAGUUUUUGCAUUAUAUGAUAUGAACACGUAUAUCUAAAACCUUGAUUUGAUAUGAACACGUAUAUCUAAAACCUUCGAUUAAAUAUGAAAUUAUAGGCAAAUUCUAUGCUAUGUUUUUAUUUUUGUGGCUAUAAUAGGCAUUUACAUAACAUCUCAAAUUUUGUAAUUGUUGAACUCUUUUUUGAGUGAAACUGCGAUAAAUUAAUGUAAAAAUAAACUGCGAUAAAUUGAUACUUUUUUUGGUUAUUGGUUUGACGUCCUAUAAAUUGAGCCAUUUUUGUUGGAAUUUUCUCUAUUUGUUAUCAACUAGAAUGGUUUACUUUGUUUGGAUCCUUCUAAUUACCUAAGAAAAUGAACUUCCUAUAGUUUUUUAUUCGGCUAAACAGCUCAAGUGGAGCUUAUUUGAAAAGCAUAACGUUUUCGACCUAAUUAGACUGUAGGCUUUUGUUUAAUGUCAACAAUUAGCUAAUUGAAGGUUUUAAUUAUGACGGAUGUAAGCAUUCUAUUGGUUCAUCCUAGGCAUUAUUAUAUAAGUUCUUUACCAAAAAGAAAUAAAAAGUGGGACCUAAACCGAAAAUUCCAAUAAGAAAUGGUAUGGGAGGUCUUUGCAUCUUUAUAUAAACCCCCAAAGUUUAUCUCUUCUCUGUAUCUCCACUCAAAACUCCUUUCCUCUGUAUCCGCUUCCCUCUUCUCUCACCAGAAUCCGAGAGAGAGAGUGAGUGAGUCUAUACUGUGACCAUACAAAAAAAAAGAAAAGAAAAGAAAAUGCAGACCAAGAAGCUCUUUUUCUCCAUAGUCUCUUUUCUUCUCUAUGCUCCAUUGCUCUUAUCUUCACCAGUUCCAGACCCAGAAGCUGUUGUCGAUGAAGUCCACAGGUACAAAUCUUCUGUCUUUUCUUCUUCAAACUUCACAUUCUACUUAAAAAUCCCAAAUUUCAGCAUACUCUCUGCAAAAUGCUCGUCUUUAAGUAAAUCGCAAAUGGGACCAUAUAAAGCAGCAAACUUUAUAAAAUCUCUCUGCUUUUUUGUACAUUUAAGAAGAGAAUGCAAUAAAAGUCUCUGACUUUAUGAUGGUUGUGCACUAUGUAUAGGAGCAUUAAUGCGUCGGUUGCAGGAAGAAGGAAGUUAGGUUACCUCUCAUGUUCCACUGGUAACCCAAUCGACGAUUGCUGGCGAUGCGACCCACACUGGGAGAAAAACCGACAGCAUCUCGCCGACUGUGCCAUCGGGUUCGGCAAGAACGCAAUCGGCGGCCGAGACGGUCGGAUCUACGUGGUCACAGACUCAGGCAACGACGACCCAGUGAACCCAAGACCCGGAACCUUGAGACACGCCGUGGUUCAAGACGAGCCGCUCUGGAUCAUCUUCCAGCGAGACAUGACGAUUCGUCUGAAAGAAGAGCUGAUCAUGAACUCUUUCAAGACCAUCGAUGGCCGUGGAGCGUCCGUACACAUCUCAGGUGGGCCUUGUAUCACGAUCCAGUACGUGACCAACAUCAUCAUCCACGGGAUUCACAUCCACGACUGCAAGCAAGGAGGGAACGCUAUGGUGCGGAGCUCCCCACGGCAUUACGGGUGGAGAACGAUAUCGGACGGUGACGGUGUCUCCAUCUUUGGAGGGAGUCAUGUUUGGGUUGACCAUUGCUCGCUUUCCAACUGUGAAGACGGGCUUAUUGAUGCUAUAAUGGGCUCGACGGCGAUUACUCUGUCUAACAAUUACAUGACGCAUCACGAUAAGGUCAUGUUGCUUGGUCAUAGUGACACUUACACUCAUGACAAGACUAUGCAAGUCACUAUAGCUUUUAACCAUUUUGGUGAAGGCCUUGUUCAAAGAAUGCCCAGGUAAAAAAAAAAAAAGAUUUGAUUUUUCUUGGUAGAUUUGGUUUGUUUUAGUAAAAUUAAUGUGAUUUGUGACUUGAUAUUGGGACCAUUGUUGUGUAUGUGUGUGUAGGUGUAGACAUGGAUACUUCCAUGUGGUGAACAAUGACUAUACACAUUGGGAGAUGUAUGCGAUUGGAGGAAGUGCUAAUCCUACAAUCAAUAGUCAAGGGAACAGAUUUGUGGCCCCAAACAUCAGAUUUAGCAAAGAAGUGACUAAACACGAGGACGCGCCUGAGAGCGAGUGGAAGAGCUGGAACUGGAGGUCUUCUGGUGAUUUGUUGCUUAAUGGUGCGUUUUUUACGCCGUCUGGUGGUGCUGCCUCGUCUAGCUAUGCCAAAGCCUCGAGUCUUGGUGCUAAACCGUCUUCUCUUGUUGGACCAUUGACGUUGGGUUCUGGUGCACUGAAUUGCCGUAAGGGUUCUCGUUGCUGAUUGGUGGGGUUGGCCUUUAGUGGUCACUUAAGUUUUUAGUUUUUUUUCCCAACUAAAAAAAAUUAUAUAGAAAUGGCAAUUAAAGCCACCAAUUAAGGGGUUUGGGUUAAGUAAUACUUUCUUUACCCCCUUGAUUUACUCUCCUUAUUUUUUUUCUUUUUCGGGGUUGAAUUAAGGAGAAUACAACCUCUGGCUUGCUUUCUCUUAGGACCCUUCUAAGGAUUCUCUGUUUUAAGGAAUCUUUCUUUAGGUCAAGUGUAGCAACAAGUGCAGAUGUGUUGAUCUUUGAUAUUAAUAUAAUAUAAAUUUAUGUCCUCUCUUUAUGUCUUCCUUUCUUAUUUUCGAUAUUGAAUGUCUAGACUGAUAAACACAAGCAGCCUUACAAAGAAAAAUAUAGCCAUCGCAAAAUAAUAUGAAAUGUAAAUUUGCGUAGCCAUGAUGGAGGAAGUGGUUAGUUACAGAGUUACAGUGCCCAUGCUCUGUUUUGUUUAUUCAAAAGUUUGGAAUGUUGUGUGAAAUGGGUAACUUUUUUGGGUCAAAGUUGUUCGAGCCAGUCAAUGUUUGACCAUGGCCGCGACUUUUUUCCCUCUGGCCGAUGCAUAGAUUUUGGUUAAAUAAAAAAAAAUCUAUCCUUAAAAUGAGGAAAAAUAAUGAGGCAUCAUUUGCACAUGUGACCAUGCGAGAACAGCAGAAAAGCGGAGAUUGGUACUACAUUGGAAUAGUAAAAGGUUAAAAAUAUUUCAAAAGUAAUAAAAAUUGGAGCAGUUAUAUGUCUCAGCAGCCCUACUUUUGAUGGCUUGGUCUCAUAUUCUUGUUGACUCCUGUCCACUGAUUGUGGAUACAUUUUAAAUUUUGAAAUUUUAACAACUAAAAUAACUAACCAAAUAUUUGGUUUUCUCCAUAUAACUAACCAAUAUAAUACACCUUUUUCUUGGCCAUCACAUGUGCGCAAAUAUUUUAUAUACAUUUAGGAAGGAAAAGAAGUAAUACAUAAAAAGAUCCUAUGGUUACUAGUCUCAACGAAUGAGGUGAUCUAGUUGGUGUGAUUAUUGUGUGGUAGAUUCGAAUUGGCGAGUCAGUAAAUAAUUUUUUUUGCCAAUAUAAAAGUUAUAAAGAUAGUUUCUAUUUCUCUUUUUUUUGGUCAUAUAUAGCAUCAAACUAGAUUGUUCAAACAAAAAAAAAACAUCAAACUAGUAUCAUGUUGUUUUCUUUAUCUUGAUUCCAAACAGGUAUGAAGAUAUAGGUUCUCUUCUCCUAUCGAGUUGAGUGUACUUAAGUCUUCUACUUAUUCCUUUUUUUUCGUAGUUUACAAAUAGAAUAUUCCUACGCGAGUUAGAGAGAUCAUAGUGAGGUUAACAAUUCGGAUCUUGGUUAAAACUCAAUAAAGAGUUAUUACUGCUCAAAGUGCGACUUGAUCUGGAGAAGAAAAUGGAAUAGCAUUUGAUAUUGAGGAAUAAUAAUUAGAAGAGUAUUGUGUGAAAUAAACAGUUCUCUCAAAAAAAAAAAAACAAUUCAUCUACCUCGGGUAGAAACUCAAAGUUUUUUUAAAAAACAUAUCUCGCUGUUCAAAAAAAAUAUAGAUGAUACAUAUCUCAAAGAGCUAUCCCCAAAAGGAAUGAAAUAGGAAUGAAACUAUCGCAGCAUUGGAGCCAUCUCUUGAUCUCAAAUAUGGAAGGUCAAGUUCUUCCUAAGGCAAUGAAUACAUCUUCAGCUUCGGAUAUGAAAUGCAUUAGAAAUAAUCUCUGUGUGGAAAUAUUUGUUGAAUACGAUACAUUACAAGCAAUAUCUUAUGGUUUUCGCAUGAUUGAUAGUAAAUUUCUUAUAUUUUUUUUUUAUAGUGAAUUUAUUGACGAGAACUUUUAUAUCUUUCAAAAACUAGUUGCUGUAUCGAUGUGAGGAGUUGGAAUGUGUCAACAAAUAACAACUUAGCUGAAGAUCAAAUUAUAUAUAUCUGAACUUGUUAAAACAAGAAAUAUUAUUAUGUCUUUUGAACUUUGUUUGCAAUUCUUUUCCCUUUCUUAUGUGUAUAUUUGGCUUCACAGGAAAUUCAAAAUGCAUCAUUGCAAUCCGAUAGUGUAGUAAAAAUAUUUCUCCCCUUUCCCUUCCCAUUUUCAUCUAUUAUCAGCACUGAAUGAUCUAAUUACAAGGCAAAUGUUUGUAUCAAGCCCAAUCAUUCCUUAAACCAUGAGAACUGAGAAGAAAUGGCUUUAGGCCAUUCAAAAAAGAAAAACAUCAACAUUGCAUUCAAGGAGUCUAAAAGUAAGGAAGUGGCAACUAUUUGUGUAGAAGAAGACAACAAGUGACGGAUAUAAUGCCUUUAUAAACAUUUGAUGACACUCAUGUUCAUGGAACGAGAAAGUUAGGUUGUAUACAUAAGAAAAAUCGCUGCAACUUUGUCAAUGAAUCCAAGAUAAGUCCAUUGAAAGAUAGAACCAUAUCAAAUUAAAGUGUCAUUUAGUGUCAAGAAAUAAGUGUCAAAGAAGCCGUGAAAUUUGCCGCUAAGGCACGCUUGAAGAUGAGUACACAAAGCACUUUUUUAGAAUGUUUGACUGUAUGUUCGUUAGCUACGAGAGUAUAAUUCCGGGUCCACGAUUAUACUUUGAAUUGAAAGUUUUAUGCUUUUUAAUGUUCAGAAAUGGAUGAAAGAAAGCUUGUAAUACAUUUAAUUCAUCGUGAUGGAACAUAUCUCAUACGGAAGAUUCGUUAUUGAGUGCAGUUGGUCAAGAUACUCAAGAGAUAAGAUGGAUUCUAUUGCUUGGAGAGUCGUACCUAUUGCAUCUACAAUAUUUUUUUUUCUAUGAAUUCUUAUCUCUGACUUUGAUACACGUAUUAUGGUUUCUUACAUAGUAUUCCAAUCCAAACGAACUGUAACUAGAAUAUGAGGAGAUGUAGCUCAUUGCUGAUAUACAUCUCAACUGCUUGCACAUGAAGUUUAAACCUUAAAAUAAAUCGAAUCACUAGAUUAUAAACUUUCAUGGACACAAAGUUUAACCAUAUUAUUAAAACCGUAAAAGAAAUAAACCUAAAUUUUGGGGUUACAAAUCCAAACACUCAAGAAUGUUAAAAACAGUUGAAGGAAAAAUUAAACAAAAAAAAACAACUGAAGGAAAAAAUACCGAAGAAAUUGUAAAAAAACAAAAUUUAAUUGUAUUGCUGUUCCAGCUAAAUUUUUUUAUUUAAAAAAUACACUUCAAUUUAUUUUUCCUUUAAAUAAAUUUCACUUUGGUAUCGAAACAAUUUCUCUUGCUCUCUCGGCCCUCCUUAUCCCUAUCUCUCCCACCGUUCUAAACCCCUCUCUUCCUCUUCUUUCUAUCACACUUCUAUCUCUCCCAGUUCUUCAAUGGCUUCUUCGAUAGUGACCUCAAGCUUGAAGCCUUUAGCCAUGGCGGAUUCCUCUUCUUCCACCAUUUUCUCCAAUUCUUCAGUCCCCACUAUCUGUUCCUCCAAAACUCGCUGCUCCAACUUUUCCCUCCUCACCGGACGCACCAAUCUCCCGUUCUCUUUCUCCCGAUUCUCCCUCUCUCUCAAAACAAAAACCCACCUUAAAAAGUCUCCCUUUGUCUCCUUCGUUGCCCAGACUUCGGAUUGGGCUCAGCAAGAUGGAGAAGAAGGUGGGGAUGGGAGCUCAUCGGUCGCCGUGGAGGAGAACGAGCCAGAAGCCACGUUUUCUG
rnacentral:lncRNA from 1 species